AGAGUUUGAUCCUGGCUCAGGAUGAACGCUAGCUACAGGCUUAACACAUGCAAGUCGAGGGGCAGCGGGAUUGAAGCUUGCUUCAAUUGCCGGCGACCGGCGCACGGGUGAGUAACGCGUAUCCAACCUUCCGCUUACUCGGGGAUAGCCUUUCGAAAGAAAGAUUAAUACCCGAUUGUAUCUUAAGCACGCAUGAGAUUAAGAUUAAAGAUUUAUCGGUAAGCGAUGGGGAUGCGUUCCAUUAGGCAGUUGGCGGGGUAACGGCCCACCAAACCUACGAUGGAUAGGGGUUCUGAGAGGAAGGUCCCCCACAUUGGAACUGAGACACGGUCCAAACUCCUACGGGAGGCAGCAGUGAGGAAUAUUGGUCAAUGGGCGAGAGCCUGAACCAGCCAAGUAGCGUGAAGGAUGACGGCCCUACGGGUUGUAAACUUCUUUUGUGCGGGAAUAAAGGAACCUACGUGUAGGUUUUUGCAUGUACCGUAACGAAUAAGCAUCGGCUAACUCCGUGCCAGCAGCCGCGGUAAUACGGAGGAUGCGAGCGUUAUCCGGAUUUAUUGGGUUUAAAGGGAGCGUAGACGGGUUUUUAAGUCAGCUGUGAAAGUUUGGGGCUCAACCUUAAAAUUGCAGUUGAAACUGGAGACCUUGAGUACGGUUGAGGCAGGCGGAAUUCGUGGUGUAGCGGUGAAAUGCUUAGAUAUCACGAAGAACCCCGAUUGCGAAGGCAGCCUGCUAAGCCGCCACUGACGUUGAGGCUCGAAAGUGCGGGUAUCAAACAGGAUUAGAUACCCUGGUAGUCCGCACGGUAAACGAUGGAUACUCGCUGUUGGCGAUAGACGGUCAGCGGCCAAGCGAAAGCGUUAAGUAUCCCACCUGGGGAGUACGCCGGCAACGGUGAAACUCAAAGGAAUUGACGGGGGCCCG
rnacentral:rRNA from 1 species